rnacentral:rRNA from 1 species
AGAGUUUGAUCCUGGCUCAGGACGAACGCUGGCGGCGUGCCUAAUACAUGCAAGUCGAACGAACUCUGGUAUUGAUUGGUGCUUGCAUCAUGAUUUACAUUUGAGUGAGUGGCGAACUGGUGAGUAACACGUGGGAAACCUGCCCAGAAGCGGGGGAUAACACCUGGAAACAGAUGCUAAUACCGCAUAACAACUUGGANNNNNNNNNNNNNNNUUGAAAGAUGGCUUCGGCUAUCACUUUUGGAUGGUCCCGCGGCGUAUUAGCUAGAUGGUGAGGUAACGGCUCACCAUGGCAAUGAUACGUAGCCGACCUGAGAGGGUAAUCGGCCACAUUGGGACUGAGACACGGCCCAAACUCCUACGGGAGGCAGCAGUAGGGAAUCUUCCACAAUGGACGAAAGUCUGAUGGAGCAACGCCGCGUGAGUGAAGAAGGGUUUCGGCUCGUAAAACUCUGUUGUUAAAGAAGAACAUAUCUGAGAGUAACUGUUCAGGUAUUGACGGUAUUUAACCAGAAAGCCACGGCUAACUACGUGCCAGCAGCCGCGGUAAUACGUAGGUGGCAAGCGUUGUCCGGAUUUAUUGGGCGUAAAGCGAGCGCAGGCGGUUUUUUAAGUCUGAUGUGAAAGCCUUCGGCUCAACCGAAGAAGUGCAUCGGAAACUGGGAAACUUGAGUGCAGAAGAGGACAGUGGAACUCCAUGUGUAGCGGUGAAAUGCGUAGAUAUAUGGAAGAACACCAGUGGCGAAGGCGGCUGUCUGGUCUGUAACUGACGCUGAGGCUCGAAAGUAUGGGUAGCAAACAGGAUUAGAUACCCUGGUAGUCCAUACCGUAAACGAUGAAUGCUAAGUGUUGGAGGGUUUCCGCCCUUCAGUGCUGCAGCUAACGCAUUAAGCAUUCCGCCUGGGGAGUACGGCCGCAAGGCUGAAACUCAAAGGAAUUGACGGGGGCCCGCACAAGCGGUGGAGCAUGUGGUUUAAUUCGAAGCUACGCGAAGAACCUUACCAGGUCUUGACAUACUAUGCAAAUCUAAGAGAUUAGACGUUCCCUUCGGGGACAUGGAUACAGGUGGUGCAUGGUUGUCGUCAGCUCGUGUCGUGAGAUGUUGGGUUAAGUCCCGCAACGAGCGCAACCCUUAUUAUCAGUUGCCAGCAUUAAGUUGGGCACUCUGGUGAGACUGCCGGUGACAAACCGGAGGAAGGUGGGGAUGACGUCAAAUCAUCAUGCCCCUUAUGACCUGGGCUACACACGUGCUACAAUGGAUGGUACAACGAGUUGCGAACUCGCGAGAGUAAGCUAAUCUCUUAAAGCCAUUCUCAGUUCGGAUUGUAGGCUGCAACUCGCCUACAUGAAGUCGGAAUCGCUAGUAAUCGCGGAUCAGCAUGCCGCGGUGAAUACGUUCCCGGGCCUUGUACACACCGCCCGUCACACCAUGAGAGUUUGUAACACCCAAAGUCGGUGGGGUAACCUUUUAGGAACCAGCCGCCUAAGGUGGGACAGAUGAUUAGGGUGAAGUCGUAACAAGGUAGCCGUAGGAGAACCUGCGGCUG